UACGUAGGGGGCAAGCGUUGUUCGGAAUUACUGGGCGUAAAGGGCGCGUAGGCGGCAGGCCAAGUCGGGAGUGAAAGCCCGGGGCUCAACCCCGGAAUGUCUUUCGAAACUGGCCAGCUGGAGUGCGGAAGAGGCAACUGGAAUUCCCAGUGUAGCGGUGAAAUGCGUAGAUAUUGGGAAGAACACCUGAGGCGAAGGCGGGCUACUGGGCCGAUACUGACGCUGAGGCGCGAAAGCCAGGGGAGCAAACGGG
rnacentral:rRNA from 1 species